rnacentral:lncRNA from 1 species
UAUUCACAUGCUUUGUUCUAGAACAGCCAGAUAUAUCAAAUUUCACUUGAUCUAACUUACACAAACAUGCAGAAUUUACAAAACAAAGCAGUAACAUCUCACCACCAUCACAAGCAAAUGAACUAGAUAUUUUACUCAUCAACGUUUUAUCACACAAACGAAUCAGCAAAUUCAAAUUGUCAUCACAUACAAGCAGAUUUGACGUGUGAUAUGCCAACCUUUUAUCACAAAAAACCAAAUUUUGUUCGGACUCACUUGGACUUACUUCUUGAUCAAUCUUGACAAUGUUAGGCUCAUGAGCAGAAAGAUAUUUCGCAUUACUAUGUAAAAUACAUUCAUCAACAAUCAUAUUAUGAUUUCCAAUCAAAUCAAGAUGAAAAACUCUCUCACAAACUAAGAAUUUGGUAAUCUUGUCAUCAAGAAUCAAGUAAGAUUGGGAAGACUCAAAUACAGUAGAACCCUUACAUGGCUUACCUUUAAGCACUUGUGGACUAGGGUCAUCUACGAUCUUAC